GACGGAGGAUGCAAGCGUUAUCCGGAAUGAUUGGGCGUAAAGCGUCCGCAGGUGGCAGUUCAAGUCUGCUGUCAAAGACCGGGGCUUAACUUCGGAAAGGCAGUGGAAACUGAACAGCUAGAGUAUGGUAGGGGCAGAGGGAAUUCCUGGUGUAGCGGUGAAAUGCGUAGAGAUCAGGAAGAACAUCGGUGGCGAAGGCGCUCUGCUGGGCCACAACUGACACUCACAGGACGAAAGCUAGGGGAGCGAAUGGG
rnacentral:rRNA from 1 species